CAUCUCCCAGAAUGCUUCUCUCCGUCCUCCACAUCUGCUUCCUCCUUUCCUUUUGACAAAGCCAUUUCUGACGCAGAGUAGAGAGCUUUUCAGGCUGACCGCCGCCUAUUCAAGAAGAUGGUGUGACUCGUAAUUGGUGCCUGCCGUUAUGUGGCUAGGAAAAUAGCAUCGGCCCUGCGCGCUGAGGAUGUGGAAGAGACCAUGCUGGCUUGCAAGAACCGGACAACUCUAACUGGUAUCUCAAAAAAGCCAGCAGGGUCUGAAUCCAUUCCUCGCUCAGUCAGCGAAAAAUAUCCUCAUGCGGUUAGGUCCGAAGUCAGAACCCGGGAACCAAACUCCUGAUGAAAUAAAAUAAAAAGGACAGCGGAGCGGGAAAAUGACGGCUUGUUUGACGAAAUCCUGCAGCUGCAGGAAGUGAACAGUCCUGAGAAUCCCUUAUUCUGCCCGUCUUUCGUUGUUCCGCUAUGAAAAUAAAUUUAAAUAAAGAA